rnacentral:rRNA from 1 species
AAUAGAUACCCAGGUAGUCCACGCCGUAAACGAUGAGUGCUAAGUGUUAGAGGGUUUCCGCCCUUUAGUGCUGCAGCAAACGCAUUAAGCACUCCGCCUGGGGAGUACGGCCGCAAGGCUGAAACUCAAAGGAAUUGACGGGGGCCCGCACAAGCGGUGGAGCAUGUGGUUUAAUUCGAAGCAACGCGAAGAACCUUACCAGGUCUUGACAUCUCCUGACAACCCUAGAGAUAGGGCGUUCCCCUUCGGGGGACAGGAUGACAGGUGGUGCAUGGUUGUCGUCAGCUCGUGUCGUGAGAUGUUGGGUUAAGUCCCGCAACGAGCGCAACCCUUGAUCUUAGUUGCCAGCAUUCAGUUGGGCACUCUAAGGUGACUGCCGGUGACAAACCGGAGGAAGGUGGGGAUGACGUCAAAUCAUCAUGCCCCUUAUGACCUGGGCUACACACGUGCUACAAUGGAUGGUACAAAGGGCUGCAAGACCGCGAGGUUAAGCGAAUCCCAUAAAACCCAUUCUCAGUUCGGAUUGCAGG